rnacentral:rRNA from 1 species
UGCAAGGUGUUUCGCUACGUGAUCUGCGUCAAGGAUCAUUAACCUUUCAAAUCAGGGUGCGGCGCGGCCCCCGAGGAGCGGAAACAAUCCUUGGGAGGUAUGCGGGGGCUUCGAGCCCCCCAUUUACGCACGCACGACUGCCAUCCUUACUUUACGAGCACCUUCUGUUCUCCCUCGGCGGGGCAACCUGCCGUUGGAACCGAAUAAACUCUUUUUGCAUCUAGCAUUACCUGUUCCGAAACAAACAAUCGUUACAACUUUCAACAAUGGAUCUCUUGGCUCUGGCAUCGAUGAAGAACGCAGCGAAAUGCGAUAAGUAGUGUGAAUUGCAGAAUUCAGUGAAUCAUCGAAUCUUUGAACGCACAUUGCGCCCCUCGGUAUUCCGUGGGGCAUGCCUGUUCGAGCGUCAUCUACACCCUCAAGCUCUGCUUGGUGUUGGGCGUCUGUCCCGCCUCCGCGCGUGGACUCGCCCCAAAUUCAUUGGCAGCGGUCCUUGCCUCCUCUCGCGCAGCACAUUGCGCUUCUCGAGGGGCUACGGCUCGCGUCCAACAAGCACAUUUACCGUCUUUGACCUCGGAUCAGGUAGGGAUACCCGCUGAACUUAAGCAUAUCAUAAGGCCGGAAGGAA